rnacentral:sRNA from 1 species
UAUUCUGCCCUACGGGGAAGGAUGAGAAGCUUCGACUAAGGUUCGACUCGAGCGCCAGCGAGAGAACGUUGCCAAGGGCAACGGCCCGAAGGGCGAGGAGCGAUAGCGACGAGUUAUCCUUCCCCCACCACCA